CGACCCGUGCUGAACGUUGGUUCGGUUUUAUUCGCUACAGUUAUCCAAACCGGGUGCGCCGGGUACACAUUAUUAUUCAUUAUUCACGAUCCUCAUCGCAAAGCAAACGGAGAUCAAGAUUCAGACUCGAAUAUUUGAACGGAAUAUACCUAUAGUAUGACUCCAUCACAAACCGUGGUCUAUUCAAAAGGGCCUGCUAUAUCGCAUGCAUUAACGGUAACAGCUCGGCAACAAUACAUUACGGACUUUGCAUGGACAUUGCCUGAUUGGGCAAACCUCUGUAAUACCACAGGCGCACAAGGAGUACGAUCUGAGCUUUUUCAAGUUGAUGGCAUAGAUGGCUGUACUUGCCAAAUAUCCAUUUUUCCAGAAAAUCCAACAAAUACUUUCUCAAUCAAAUUUUCAGAUUCUCUAGAUAUUUUGGGAAUGCGAGUCAUUAUAGAUUUGAAUAAUUAUCACUAUGAACAUACUGUGCUCUACCCAGUGCCGAGUAUUAUUUCUCUCCCAGGGUCCUUACAAUCCAAGAAAGUAACAGGACACAAUGAUUAUUAUAAUCACGCAAACACGACACUGACUAAUAUAUUGAAUAACGGUUAUUUGCAUCCCUCAGCCUCCGUUAAAGUGAGAUUUGAGGUGGCGAAAUUUCCGGAUUUUCACAGUUUCUUUUUCCAAACACAUCAAACGAGUGUUGUGGCAAACAUGCAAGCUAUUUUUGAAAAAAACACUUACAGUGACAUCACUUUCGUGUUCGAGAAUGAAGAAUUGCAUGCCCACAAAAGUAUUCUUGCAGUACAAAGCAAAGUUUUUGAAGCAAUGUUUUCAAAUGAGAUGAGCAAAAAAGAUACAGGCAGAGUGGAAGUGCUUGAUAUAAGAGCAGAGGUAUUUGAGGCUUUUCUAAAGUACUUGUAUACUAGAAAAAUAGAUUUGAAAAAAAAUGUUACCGAAAUUUUAAUCGUGGCAGAUAAAUAUGAAGUUUGCGAGUUGAAAGACCUUUGUGAAAAACAUAUGUUGAAAAAUCUUAGUGAGCAAAACGUUGUUGAGUAUUUGCUCAUUGCAGACAAACUAUGUUGUACUGCACUGAAAGAAAAAUCUCUCACAAAGCUACAAAACAACGCCGUUGCAUUAUGCGGUGUAAUAAAAAACGAAAGCUCCGAGACGUUUAUGGAUUUGCAAAAGAUACUUUCCAACGAUUUGUUUUAACUUUCCCUAAUGUAAAAUCGAUGAAAAAUUUGGUAUUAACACCAGUUAUACGUGAUAAUUAUAUUAUUAUUUCAUUAUGAAACAGGGAAGUUUAACGAUUUUUUUAAUUAUACUAUAAUUCUGACACGAACGUACUUGGUAUAAUUUCUUGGUCACUUUUUUGGAUUACGUUUUUUGAUUAUUAUGAUUGCGUGUCUGAUGAUUGCGAUAUGAGGACAAAUGAUUUUCAAUUUCAGUAACUCACAGCGAAUUUAUCGGUAUCUUUUAUAGUUCUAAGAUUGUAAUAUCAUCCCACUUGUUUCUUUGUAUUCGUUAAAGGUGUGGCUUUAAUUUCAUGUGUAUUAAAUAAAUGUGUAAUAAUGUAAAAUGUAGACUUUGUUUUCAAUCAGGUAUCGAAUUAGUGCUUUCAAGUUUUCAUAAUUUUAUUAGUUAAUUUUUGUUUCAACAAAUUUUUUUUUUUUUUUUAUCAAGUUUUAUACUUUUUUCGAGGAAUCUUGUGCGAGAUCGAUUCACUUUAAAAGUUUUUUUUUACAGCAUUUAUGUUGUUUUUCGUAAAACUUGCAAUGAGAAAAUAUAUGAACCCAGAAAUUUCAGCCAACGUCUGCUGUGUGAAAAAACAAAUUUUCUAUUUGAUCGUGAGAGCAGUAACCGAUUCCCACCAUUGAACUGAAUUAAAAUAGGGUUCCGGGAUUUCCACUUCAAAAAGUUCAACAGUCCUGGGAUGCCCGCUGACUUACGUAGUUUUUUUAUGUCAGGAAACUUCCAGAAUUUUUCCCUCCCAUUCGCAGUAGCUGCGACUGUACUCCUCCAAUUUCCUCCCGCAACGUUGCCAGGCCAAUUUUAUUCGGUAUACAGGCGUCGAAGUCGUGGGCAUGCAUUAUUAUCUACGAUCUUCAUCGUGGAGCAAACAGAUUCACAGAUCAAGUUCUGGACUCGAAUAUUUGGAAAGAAUAUAUACGAAGAACCUGAUCGUGGUGCGAUACAUGUUUCACCAUUAAAAGUGUGUUGCUGGAUCACGUACACUACAGGAAAUAAGAAGCCUACACAAAAAACAUUCAUCAAAAAAUAAUAUCACAAAUAUGACUCCGUCAAAAACUGUGGCUCAUUCGAAAGGGCCUGCUAUAUCGCAUCCAUUAACGGUAACAGCUCAGCAACAAUACAUUACGGACUUUGCAUGGACAUUGCCUGAUUGGGCAAACCUUUUUAAUACAACAUAUGCACAAGGAGUACGAUCUGAGCAUUUUCAAGUUUAUGGCAUAGAUGGCUGUACUUGCCAAAUAUCAAUUUUUCCAAAAGAUUCAACGAAUACUCUCUCAAUCGAAUUCUCAGAUUCUCUAGAAAUUUUGGGAAUGCAAAUCGUCAUAGAAUUAAAUAAUUAUCACUAUGAACGUCUUGAAUUGUACCCAGUUCCGAGUAUUAUUAUUUUCUUAGGAUCAUCGAAAUUUAAUACUGCAGCCUGGGAUCGUUAUGCUUCUGGCAAAACGGAUCUGUAUAAUCUAUUGAAUAAUAGAGUUUUGCGUCCCUCAGCCUCUGUUAAAGUGAGAUUUGAGGUAGCGAAAUUUCCGGUCUUCCAGAGCGUCUUUUUUCAAACACAUCAAAAGAGUGUUGUGGCAAACUUGCAAGCUAUUUUUGAAAAAAACACUUACAGUGACAUCACUUUCGUGUUCGAGGAUGAAGAAUUGCAUGCCCACAAAAGUAUUCUUGCAGUACAAAGCAAAGUUUUUGAAGCAAUGUUUUCAAAUGAGAUGAGCGAAAAAGAUACAGGCAGAGUGGAAGUGCUUGAUAUAAGAGCAGAGGUAUUUGAGGCUUUUCUAAAGUACUUGUAUACUAGAAAAAUAGAUUUGAAAAAAAAUGUUACAGAAUUUUUAGUCGUGGCAGAUAAAUAUGAGGUUUGCGAGUUGAAAGACCUUUGUGAAAAAUAUAUGUUGAAAAAUCUUAGUGAGCAAAACGUUGUUGAGUAUUUGCUCAUUGCAGACAAACUAUGUUGUACUGCACUGAAAGAAAAAUCUCUCACAAUGCUACAAAACAACGUCGUUGCAUUAUGCGGUGUAAUGAAAAACGAAAGCUCCGAGACGUUUAUGGACUUGAAAAAGAUACUUUCCAAUGAUACCUCGAAACGUUCAGAAAAUCAGUGAACAGAUGAUUUGUUUUAACUUUCCCUAAUGUAAAAUCAAUGAAAAAUUUGGUAUUAACACCAGUUACGUGGUAAUUAUAUUAUUUUUUCAUUAUGAAACAGGGAAGUUCAACGAUUUUUUUGAUUAUACUAUAAUUUUAACAAACAUGUACUUAGUACAAUUUCUUUGUCAUUUUUUGGAUUAUGUUUUUUGAUUAUGAUCGAUGAAUGUGAUAGAAGGAAUAGAAAUAAGUCGAUAAGAGACGUUGAUUUUUAAGCCAGCCAACAAAUAUUGGUAGGAAUAUGAAGUUUGUGUGUGGAAAAGACAAUAAACCAAUUGUAUUUCAGUUUA